rnacentral:rRNA from 1 species
GAUUAACGCUGGCGGCGUGCAUAACACAUGCAAGUCGAACGAUGAAACUUUAAUGAACCCUUCGGGGAGAAUUAAAGCGGAUUAGUGGCGAACGGGUGAGUAACGCGUGAGUAACCUGCCUUACACAAGGGGAUAGCCUUUGGAAACGAAGAAUAAUACCCUAUAAAACCAUAAAAGCACAUGCAAUUAUGGUCAAAGUGAUAGCGGUGUAAGAUGGACUUGCGUCUGAUUAGCUAGUUGGUGAGAUAAAAGCCCACCAAGGCAACGAUCAGUAGCCGGCUUGAGAGAGUGUACGGCCACAUUGGGACUGAGACACGGCCCAGACUCCUACGGGAGGCAGCAGUGGGGAAUUUUGCACAAUGGGGGAAACCCUGAUGCAGCGACGCCGCGAGAUUUAGAAGGCCUUCGGGUUGUAAAAAUCUUUUGUAUAGGAAGAAAAUGACAGUACUAUACGAAUAAGGUCCGGCUAAUUACGUG